rnacentral:tRNA from 3 species
GAGCCCAUAGCUCAGCCGGUAGAGCAUCUGACUUUUAAUCAGAGGGUCGAUGGUUCGAAUCCAUCUGGGCUCACCA